rnacentral:rRNA from 1 species
CCCUUAGAUGUUCUGGGCGGCCCGCGCACUACAAUGGCGUGUGCAGCGAGUGCCGAAGUAGAGUUUUCCGAGGUAUUCUUGCAAUGCUCGUUUUGAUGGGGAUAGACCCUUGCAACUGUUGGUUUUGAACGAGGAAUUCCUUGUAAGCAUGGUUUAUCAUCCGACGCUGAAUGCGUCCCUGCCCUUUGUACACACCGCCCGUCGCUCCUACCGAUGAGUCGUCCGGUGAAGUUCGUAGACCCCGUGAUCGCGGAUCACUGGGGGAAGCAAAAUGAACCUCGCGGUUUAGAGGAAGGAGAAGUCGUAACA